rnacentral:rRNA from 1 species
CGCAUCUGUGCAUGCAGCAUAUCAAUAAGCGGAGGAAAAGAAACUAACAAGGAUUCCCCUAGUAACGGCGAGUGAAGCGGGAAGAGCUCAAAUUUGAAAUCUUAAAGGGUUUCCCUUUACGAAUUGUAGUUUAAAGAAGUGUUUUCUGUUGAGGUUUUGGUAAAAGUUCUUUGGAAUAGGACAUCAUAGAGGGUGAGAAUCCCGUAUUUGACCUUUACUUUCAACUUUGUGAUACACUUUCAAAGAGUCGGAUUGUUUGGGAAUGCAGUCCAAAAUGGGUGGUAAAUUUCAUCUAAAGCCUAAAUAUUGGCGAGAGACCGAUAGCGAACAAGUACCGUGAGGGAAAGAUGAAAAGGAACUUUGAAAAGAGAGUUAAACAGUACGUGAAAUUGUCAAAAGGGAAGCGUUUGACACCAGUGUUGUUUUUCUGAAAAUCAAUUAAAGAACUGUUUAUGCUAAGUUGUUUAGACUUUAUCAGCUAACUGUUUAGUUUUGAGCUUUUCUUUAAUGCACUUUUCAGUUAACAAGUCAACAUCAAUUUCUUUUGCUGUAAAAAAGCUUGAGGAAGGUGGCUUGAGAUUCGUCUUAAGUGUUUAUAGCCUCUUGCCUAUGCAGUCGGAGAGAUUGAGGUCUGCAGCGUAGAUCCUUCGGGGCUAAAUGCAUUUGUGCUAAGUUAUAGCAUUUUAUAGACAACUUGUUGACUAUGAUUUGUCUUGUAGCUUACUCGCUUAUGUUAUUUUACCUACGCUUAGGAUGUUGAGCGCAUGUCUCUCUCU